rnacentral:rRNA from 2 species
UACGAGAGGGGCAAGCGUUAUUCGGAAUGAUUGGGCGUAAAGAGCACGUAGGUGGUAUUCCAAAUCUUUAGUGGUAAUGUCAAGGCUAAACUUUGAAAACUAUUAGAAGGUUCGAAUACUUGAGUGAGUGAGAGGAGAAUGGAAUUCCUGGAGUAGAGGUAAAAUUUGUUGAUCUCAGGAGGAACACCGAAAGCGAAGGCAAUUCUCUAAUGCUUUACUGACAUUGAGGUGCGAAAGCGUGGGGAUCAAAAGGG